ACGAAGGGUGCAAGCGUUACUCGGAAUUACUGGGCGUAAAGCGUGCGUAGGUGGUUCGUUAAGUCUGAUGUGAAAGCCCUGGGCUCAACCUGGGAGUGGCAUUGGAUACUGGCGAUCUAGAGUGCGGUAGAGGGCAGUGGAAUUCCCGGUGUAGCAGUGAAAUGCGUAGAGAUCGGGAGGAACAUCUGUGGCGAAGGCGGCUAACUGGUCCAGAUCUGACGCUGAGGUGCGAAAGCGUGGGGAGCAAACAGGA
rnacentral:rRNA from 1 species